rnacentral:rRNA from 4 species
GAGUUUGAUCAUGGCUCAGAUUGAACGCUGGCGGCAUGCCUUACACAUGCAAGUCGAACGGCAGCACGGGAGCUUGCUCCUGGUGGCGAGUGGCGAACGGGUGAGUAAUGCAUCGGAACGUAUCCUGGAGUGGGGGAUAACGUAGCGAAAGUUACGCUAAUACCGCAUAUUCUGUGAGCAGGAAAGCGGGGGACCUUCGGGCCUCGCGCUCUUGGAGCGGCCGAUGUCGGAUUAGCUAGUUGGUGAGGUAAAGGCUCACCAAGGCGACGAUCCGUAGCAGGUCUGAGAGGAUGAUCUGCCACACUGGAACUGAGACACGGUCCAGACUCCUACGGAGGCAGCAGUGGGGAAUUUUGGACAAUGGGGGCAACCCUGAUCCAGCCAUGCCGCGUGAGUGAAGAAGGCCU